AAUAAGCUCGCAAUUGCAAUAACAACAAUGUUAGCGGGGGUGAGACCAGCAUUGAGAUCACUGACUGUAAGAAUGGUAAACACCAUCGAAAAAAAGUUAAUAAAACCAACUACCGCAGCGGCUACAUAAGCAAAGAUCAUCAA
rnacentral:sRNA from 1 species